GCGUUUGUAGAGGAGCGGAGUCCUCGUCUCCUUGUCACGGAGAAGAUCGCGGGUUCGAAUCCCGCCAGACGCG
rnacentral:tRNA from 1 species